rnacentral:rRNA from 1 species
UGCAAGUCGAGCGGACAGAUGGGAGCUUGCUCCCUGAUGUUAGCGGCGGACGGGUGAGUAACACGUGGGUAACCUGCCUGUAAGACUGGGAUAACUCCGGGAAACCGGGGCUAAUACCGGAUGGUUGUUUGAACCGCAUGGUUCAGACAUAAAAGGUGGCUUCGGCUACCACUUACAGAUGGACCCGCGGCGCAUUAGCUAGUUGGUGAGGUAACGGCUCACCAAGGCAACGAUGCGUAGCCGACCUGAGAGGGUGAUCGGCCACACUGGGACUGAGACACGGCCCAGACUCCUACGGGAGGCAGCAGUAGGGAAUCUUCCGCAAUGGACGAAAGUCUGACGGAGCAACGCCGCGUGAGUGAUGAAGGUUUUCGGAUCGUAAAGCUCUGUUGUUAGGGAAGAACAAGUGCCGUUCAAAUAGGGCGGCACCUUGACGGUACCUAACCAGAAAGCCACGGCUAACUACGUGCCAGCAGCCGCGGUAAUACGUAGGUGGCAAGCGUUGUCCGGAAUUAUUGGGCGUAAAGGGCUCGCAGGCGGUUUCUUAAGUCUGAUGUGAAAGCCCCCGGCUCAACCGGGGAGGGUCAUUGGAAACUGGGGAACUUGAGUGCAGAAGAGGAGAGUGGAAUUCCACGUGUAGCGGUGAAAUGCGUAGAGAUGUGGAGGAACACCAGUGGCGAAGGCGACUCUCUGGUCUGUAACUGACGCUGAGCGUGGGGAGCGAACAGCGCCGUAANCGAUGAGUGCUAAGUGUUAGG